AAAUUGAGCAACAAAAAUUAAAAAAAUCUUGAACUGCAGAUACAUUCGAAUUGAUCAAAUUGGGUAUAAAUUAUGUUUCCCAUAUCAAAAUCGAAACUUUUUAGCAUAUUUGAUAUCAUACUUAAUGUUAUUACCUUAGUGGAUAUUGGGGGUGGUUUUUGAGCACUGGUGGAAGCAGAAGAAGAGGGUCUGGAAGAAGAAGAACCCGGAAUGGGCGAUUUAAGCGGGAAAUACCGGUUCUUUUCGGCAUCAUAAUAGAACCCAGGAAGAUCUAUCAACAACAAUCAAACACCCAUAUGAAUAUAUUGCCUUAAAUCGUUCGUAAAUUGAGCUAACGCUACAUGGGUUUAGAGGGGCAAACCUUGUGGCAUCUUUUCGAAUUGCUUACAGCAAAACGUAACGAUUGAAGAUGAAGGUUGUCGUCGGUGAAUCAGUUGCGUUGAAGGCGGCGGUGAUGCGGUGGAGAUGGGAGUCUCAAAGCGGCAAAAGGGCACCGACCGGAUUGAUCUGUUUACUAUUUACAUAAACACCCCCGUAUAAAGGUUAAAAAAAUUGUUAAUUAUCGUUUUACAGUUUAGGGUUUACCUUUAAGUGGUGGUCAAGGUGGUGUGUGUGUGUGUCUGUGUCUGUGUGCACAUGUGUGCGAUCGGGACAACAAACCAAGGUGUGUAGUGUCCUAAACAAUCAACCAAUGUGAACCAGAUCAAUGUUGGACGUUCUACACAACGUCUACGGGCAGGAGUGUGGCAGUGGUGUUAAGAUAGAGAGAGAAAAAGUGGUGAGAAACUUGUCUUUUUUUUUUUUUUUUUGUCGGUGAUCAAUGGCUGUUGUGAGUGAAUUAGGGCUUUCAAGGAUGUGGAGGCAGCUAACCAACUGAAAACAACCCGACGGUGGGACCUAGGUGGCGACCGACGAUUAUCUAUGGUGGCAGCGAUGACAGGUUGGGAUUAAACUAGUUCAAACGAGCUUGUGGAAAGCAUGAGAUCAAUUUACUCGAUCAAGGUAGUCGUGUUUGCUGAAGGAACGUGAGUUACGAUACUGAAGACGCAAGACAGUUUACAAGGUUUUCAGUAUGAUGGAGUGUGUGAAACCCGAGUGUUAACGUGCGUAUUUUGUGUGAAUUAUUGUCAUUUAAGUGAUUAUAUGCUUUGAAUAUGAUAACUACGCGAGAUUGUGAUUUUGCAGGUUAAUCACUUAAUUCGGUGAAUUUAAAGUGAUCAGUGAUGAAACGGAACAAGAACGGCACUUGCAAAGCGUAGCCUACAUUCUAACAUCCGUAGUCUACGGUCAUAAAAUAAACAAGAACACAGUAAAGACGAACCGUAGCUUACGGUUCCUAAGUGUAAGCUACACCUGAAAGAUAGCAGCGCAUGUGAUGUUGGGGGCAUUUAAUGGGUUUGAAAACCCUAAUCAUAAAGGUGCAUGCUAGCCAACAGAACAAGAUGGCUAGCAAGUAAGAGAUUAUUGGCUAAUAUAUGUUGACUUUUAGAAAAUAAUCAUGGAUUCAUGUACUGUUGGACGAUUGGAAAAAGAAAACAUGCAAACUUUUAGACUUUGG
rnacentral:lncRNA from 1 species